rfam:Bombyx mori DNA, contig: Bm_scaf26_contig17110, strain: p50T/Dazao, build 2, whole genome shotgun sequence.
UUAAAUCAAAUUUGUAUACGGAUUUGGAACAUUAGCCUACGUUUGCCGCUAGGGGCGCUGUUCCAACUGCAUACAAAUUUGAGUUA